rnacentral:rRNA from 1 species
AUUGAACGCUGGCGGCAUGCCUUACACAUGCAAGUCGAACGGCAGCACGGGCUUCGGUCUGGUGGCGAGUGGCGAACGGGUGAGUAAAGUAUCGGAACGUACCUUUCAGUGGGGGAUAACGUAGCGAAAGUUACGCUAAUACCGCAUAUUCUGUGAGCAGGUAAGCAGGGGAUCGCAAGACCUUGCGCUGAUUGAGCGGCCGAUAUCAGAUUAGCUAGUUGGUGGGGUAAAGGCCUACCAAGGCGACGAUCUGUAGCGGGUCUGAGAGGAUGAUCCGCCACACUGGAACUGAGACACGGUCCAGACUCCUACGGGAGGCAGCAGUGGGGAAUUUUGGACAAUGGGGGCAACCCUGAUCCAGCCAUGCCGCGUGAGUGAAGAAGGCCUUCGGGUUGUAAAGCUCUUUCGGCCGGGAAGAAAUCGCAUGGGCUAAUACCCUGUGUGGAUGACGGUACCGGAAUAAGAAGCACCGGCUAACUACGUGCCAGCCGCCGCCGUAAUAC